ACAGGCCUCAAAUGCGCAGUGCUCUCUCCUCCACUGAGCGGUGUGCACAUUUUCAGUCAAACAGCACUCCUUCUCUUCUGAGACCUGUAGUGUGCUCACAGAGAAAUUUAGGACCACAUAUAAGACCCUGUUGCUCCCGCAUGACGAUCAUCCUCGACAUCUAACCCUAUCAAACGGGCAUACCCAUGCAAAAGAUCCUAUCUACUUAUUCUACAUCGGAGUGGAGACUCCUCUCAUCACAUAAACAGGUGUCAUCAAGCACCCGGACUUAAGAUUGCCACCUGUACGCAGCUGUCCAGAGCAGUGUGUCACUUUCAAUAUAUCAUCAUAUAAGUAUAUCCACUGUACAUUGCUUCAUUUACAUGUGAUUAUGCACUUUUACCCCAUGUGUGGUCCCUCAUGACCCUAUGUU